CUCAGUAGCGGCGAGUGAAGCGGCAAGAGCUCAGAUUUGAAAUCUCACCUAGUGUGCGAGUUGUAAAUUGCAGGUUGGAGUCUCGGGUUAGACGUGUGUGCAAGUCCCUUGGAACAGGGUGCCACUGAGGGUGAGAGCCCCGUAUCGUGCAUGUCGACACCUGUGAGGCCCUUCUGACGAGUCGAGUUGUUUGGGAAUGCAGCUCUAAGUGGGUGGUAAAUUCCAUCUAAGGCUAAAUAUUGGCGAGAGACCGAUAGCGAACAAGUACUGUGAAGGAAAGAUGAAAAGCACUUUGAAAAGAGAGUGAAACAGCACGUGAAAUUGUUGAAAGGGAAGGGUAUUGGGCUCGACAUGGGAUUUACGCAUCGUUGCCUCUCGUGGGCGGCGCUCUGGGUUUUUCCUGGGCCAGCAUCGGUUUUCGUUGCAGGAUAAGGACAAUUGGAAUGUGGCUCCUCGGAGUGUUAUAGCCUUUUGUAGAUGCUGCGUAUGGGGACCGAGGGCUGCGGCGGACUCGUUUCGUCUCGGAUGCUGGCACAACGGCGCAAUACCGCCCGUCUUGA
rnacentral:rRNA from 1 species